ACGGCUCAGUAACACGUCGGUAAUCUGCCCUAAGGUCGGGAAUAACCUCGCGAAAGUGAGGGUAAUACCUGAUAGGGAAAUUCGUCUGGAAAGAUUUUUUCCCAGAAAUUCGUGCCUUAGGAUGGGCCGGCGGCUGAUUAGGCUGUUGGUGGGGUAACGGCCCACCAAACCGAAGAUCAGUACGGGCCUUGAGAGAGGUAGCCCGGAGAGGGACACUGAGAUACGGGUCCCAGCCCUACGGGGUGCAGCAGGCGCGAAAACUUCUCAAUGCACGAAAGUGUGAAGAGGGGAUACUCAGUGCUUACGCUUCUGGCGUAGGCUUUUGUCGAGCGUAGACAGCUCGGCGAAUAAGUGGUGGGCAAGACCGGUGCCAGCCGCCGCGGUAACACCGGCGCCACGAGUGGUCAUCACGAUUAUUGGGCCUAAAGCGUCCGUAGCCGGCUUAGUACAUCCCUUGUGAAAUUGUGCGGCUUAACCGCACAGCGUGCAGGGGACACGACUAAGCUCGAGACCGGGAGGGGACAGAAGUAUUCCGUGGGGACCGGUAAAAUGGGAUAAUCCACGGAGGACUACCGAUGGCGAAGGCAUCUGUCCAGAACGGAUCUGACGGUGAGGGACGAAAGCCAGGGGAGCGAACCGGAUUAGAUACCCGAGUAGUCCUGGCCGUAAACGCUGUGAGCUAGGUGUCGCGUGUCCCACGUGGACGCGCGGUGUCGCAACGAAGGUGCUAAGCU
rnacentral:rRNA from 1 species